rnacentral:rRNA from 1 species
GGAGUUAGCCGGUGCUUCUUCUGUGAGUGAUGUCCUUCCUGCCGGCUAUUAACCCGCAGGCCUUCUUCCUCACUGAAAGUGCUUUACAACCCGAAGGCCUUCUUCACACACGCGGCAUGGCUGGAUCAGGGUUGCCCCCAUUGUCCAAUAUUCCCCACUGCUGCCUCCCGUAGGAGUCUGGGCCGUGUCUCAGUCCCAGUGUGGCUGAUCAUCCUCUCAGACCAGCUACGGAUCGUCGCCUUGGUGAGCCGUUACCUCACCAACCAGCUAAUCCGACAUAGGCUCAUCCGAUAGCGCGAGGCCCGAAGGUCCCCCGCUUUCCCCCGUAGGGCGUAUGCGGUAUUAGCCUGGGUUUCCCCAGGUUAUCCCCCACUACCGGGCAGAUUCCUAUGCAUUACUCACCCGUCCGCCGCUCGCCACCAGGGAGCAAGCUCCCCGUGCUGCCGCUCGACUUGCAUGUGUUAGGCCUGCCGCCAGCGUUCAAUAUGAGCCAGAUCAAACUCUGA